rnacentral:lncRNA from 1 species
GAGACGGAGUUCGAACAAGGAUGGAGUGCACUCAUUCAGAGACAUGAUGCAAGUGAAAACGAGUACCUACAGUUGCUGUGGGAGAUGAGGAAGACCUGGGCUCCUGUUUAUUUCAUGCAGGAUUUCUUCCCUUUUGUCGUUUCAGCCAGAGGCAGCCAGGGGGCAUUCUCACUGUUCAAAGAGAAUGUGCUUCCCAAGGACAAGAUAGAGAAUCUGAUUGAAAAGUACGAGGAGAUGCAGGAUAAGAUCAAGAAAACGGACGAGGAAGAUGUACUGGAAGCGGCGACCGAGCCUUCAUGCUUCUCACUGCAGCCAAUAGAAAGGCACGCAUCACGUGUCUACACAAGGCAGAUCUUCCUGAAAGUCCAGAAGGAGCUCCUCCACUCCACAGCAUUCAAAGUGCAGGAGAUAGAAAGAGGCACCCUGUACAGGCUGGACAAGGCCUACAGCUACGAGAACCCGGAGUACGACCGGGACUCCUUCGAGGUGUCAAUCGAGCCCGGCCUCACCGACACGUACACGUGCCAGUGUGCCAAGUUCGCCAGGGACGGGAUCCUCUGCUGCCACGUGUUCAGGCUCUUCACGCAGUUUGGCAUCGACGAGAUACCGGAGAAAUACAUCGUGGCCCGGUGGACCGACGGUUUCAGGGAGGAGCAGCUGGAGCGGCGUGAGGAGGGGCGGUUGGUGGUGGCGGCACAACGCGAGGAGGAUGCGGCGAGGUACGCGGCACUGAUGAGCAAGGCGGCUGGGAUCGGGAGGGAGAUCUGCGGCGACGGCGCCAAGUGCGACGCGUUCAUGCUGGAGCUGGACAGGAUCCGGGAGAAAAUGGCGACGAUGGCGAUGGCGAAUGAUCACGUUUAGACGGUAAGUGCUGAGCUUGGGCUACAGUGGACAUGUUCAGCAGCAGAAGUCUCUAGGUACUCGGGUUGGGGAGUUGAUCUUGCUCGUGUGCACAAUGUAGAGUAGCUGGUAAGGCUUGUUUUUCCUGUGUAACUUGAGAGACGAGUGCUAUGUAGUCUAUUGUUGCAUUCAUGAUUCAUGCAUUGUUAACUGUCAAGGAUUUGCCGUCGUGAUUCUGCUAUGUUAGUAGUACCUGCAUGCAGUUCAUGAGAUGUACUCUGGUUGUGCUAAAAUGUAUCCAUGCAUUAACUUGUUACAGAUUCGCCGUCGUGAUUCUGUUUAUGUUAGUAC